AUGCAGCUGACGAGUCCCAAAAAGAACGAAGCAUGUGUCCUGAAU
rnacentral:hammerhead_ribozyme from 1 species